rnacentral:rRNA from 1 species
UCCUUCGGGAGCGAGUACNGUGGCGGACGGGUCNNUNANNNGUAAACAACCUGCCUUCAAGCGGAGGAUAACCACGGGAAAAUGUGGCUAAUACUGCAUAACGUCUAGAGGCCGCAUGGCCCCUAGAUCAAAGCCUUCGGGCGCUUGAAGAUGGGUUUGCGUCGGAUUAGCUCGUUGGUGAGGUAACGGCUCACCAAGGCAACGAUCCGUAGCUGGUCUGAGAGGAUGAUCAGUCACACUGGCACUGAGACACGGUCCAGACUCCUACGGGAGGCAGCAGUGGGGAAUCUUAGGCAAUGGGGGAAACCCUGACCUAGCCAUGCCGCGUGGAGGAAGACACCCCUAUGGGGCGUAAACUCCUUUUCUGCCGGAAGAAAACCCUGUUUUUCAGGGCGUGACGGUACGGCAGGAAUAAGCACCGGCUAAUUCCGUGCCAGCAGCCGCGGUAAUACGGAGGGUGCAAGCGUUGUCCGGAAUCACUGGGCGUAAAGGGUGCGCAGGCGGAACAGCAAGUCGGAGGUGAAAGCCCACGGCUUAACCGUGGAAGUGCCUUCGAAACUGCUGUUCUUGAGUCCCAGAGAGGUCGCCGGAAUUCGUGGUGUAGCGGUGAACUGCGUAGAUAUCACGAGGAACACCAGAGGCGUAAGCGGGCGACUGGAUGGGUACUGACGCUGAGNCACGAGAGCGUGGGGAGCAAACAGGAUUAGAUACCCUGGUAGUCCACGCCGUAAACGAUGGAUGCUCGCCGUUGUCCCAUUCUAGGGGGCAGUGGCUAAGCUAACGCGUUAAGCAUCCCGCCUGGGGAGUACGANCGUCAGGGUGAACUCAAGGUAUUGAGGGGGGCCUGCACAGCGUGGAGCAUGUGGCUAUUCNAUGCACGCGAGACCUUACUAGGCUCGAACGCUACGGACCGUNCGGAGAGGACUUCCCCAGGCCUGGNAGGAGGGCUGCAGGCUG